rnacentral:rRNA from 1 species
AAAGACCCUAUGAAGCUUUACUGUAACUUGAAAUUGAAAUUGGACUUUAUUUGCGCAGUAUAGGUGGGAGGCGUUGAGAAUAAUCUUGCGGGAUUAUUGGAGCCAUCAGUGAGAUACCACUCUUGUAAUGUUAGAUUUCUAACUUUGGAUCAUUAUCUGGUCAAAGAACAGUUUCAGGCGGGCAGUUUGACUGGGGCGGUCGCCUCCUAAACGGUAACGGAGGCGCACAAAGGUUUCCUCUGAACGGGUAGAAAUCGUAUCUAGAGUGUAAAGGCAUAAGGAAGCUUGACUGUGAGACCUACAAGUCGAGCAGGGACGAAAGUCGGUCUUAGUGAUCUGACGGUGCUGAGUGGAAAGGCCGUCACUCAACGGAUAAAAGUUACUCUAGGGAUAACAGGCUGA